rnacentral:rRNA from 1 species
GACGAACGCUGGCGGCGUGCUUAACACAUGCAAGUCGAACGGAGAGGCCCUGCUUUUGUGGGGUGCUCGAGUGGCGAACGGGUGAGUAACACGUGAGUAACCUGCCCUUGACUUUGGGAUAACUUCAGGAAACUGGGGCUAAUACCGGAUAGGAGCUCCUGCUGCAUGGUGGGGGUUGGAAAGUUUCGGCGGUUGGGGAUGGACUCGCGGCUUAUCAGCUUGUUGGUGGGGUAGUGGCUUACCAAGGCUUUGACGGGUAGCCGGCCUGAGAGGGUGACCGGCCACAUUGGGACUGAGAUACGGCCCAGACUCCUACGGGAGGCAGCAGUGGGGAAUAUUGCACGAUGGGCGGAAGCCUGAUGCAGCAACGCCGCGUGCGGGAUGACGGCCUUCGGGUUGUAAACCGCUUUCGCCUGUGACGAAGCGUGAGUGACGGUAAUGGGUAAAGAAGCACCGGCUAACUACGUG